rnacentral:rRNA from 1 species
GAUCAUGGCUCAGAUUGAACGCUGGCGCAUGCCUUACACAUGCAAGUCGAACGGCAGCACGGGGCAACCUGGUGGCGAGUGGCGAACGGGUGAGUAAUGCAUCGGAACGUGCCAUUGAGUGGGGGGUAACGUAGCGAAAGUUACGCUAAUACCGCAUAUUCUGUGAGCAGGAAAGCAGGGGAUCGCAAGACCUUGCGCUCUUUGAGCGGCCGAUGUCAGAUUAGCUAGUUGGUGAGGUAACGGCUUACCAAGGCGACGAUCUGUAGCGGGUCUGAGAGGAUGAUCCGCCACACUGGAACUGAGACACGGUCCAGACUCCUACGGGAGGCAGCAGUGGGGGAAUUUUUGGACAAUGGGGGCAACCCUGAUCCAGCCAUGCCGCGUGAGUGAAGAAGGCCUUCGGGUUGUAAAGCUCUUUCGGCCGGGAAGAAAUCGCAUGGGUUAAUACCCUGUGUGGAUGACGGUACCGGCAUAAGAAGCACCGGCUAACUACGUG